UGUUCCUAAACCACCUUAUUCCCCAAGCCCUAAACCGCCUUACGUGCCAAAACCACCUCAUACUCCAGUCCCUAGGCCACCAUAUUUCCCCAAACCACCUUACACACCAAGGCCUAAGCCACCAUAUGCGCCAAAACCACCUUAUACGCCAACCCCUAAGCCACCAUAUUUCCCCAAACCACCUUACACACCAAGGCCGAAGCCACCAUAUGUGCCAAAACCACCUUAUACGCCAGCCCCUAAGCCACCAUAUUUUCCCAAACCACCUUACACACCAAGGCCUAAGCCACCAUAUGCACCAAAACCACCUUAUACGCCAACACCUAAGCCACCAUAUUUCCCCAAACCACCUUACACACCAAGGCCUAAGCCACCGUACGUGCCAAAACCACCGUACACACCAAGGCCUAAGCCACCGUACGUGCCAAAACCACCAUACACACCAACCCCUAAGCCACCGUACGUGCCAAAACCACCUUACACCCCAACCCCUAAGCCACCGUACGUGCCAAAACCAC
rnacentral:lncRNA from 1 species